UUUAAAGUUUGUGAAGACAAGAACACCACAAGCGCCCAAUCAAAGUGCAGAUAUUUACUUCAUAAUUCUGAAUGCCAGAUUGCAAUGUGGUCUAAACUCAUACUCCUGAUGAUGCUUGAUGGCUCUACUACCACGCGAAUAUGCAAGAAUAUAGCACACGUGCUACAGAUCAACCAAAAAGGCUUUGUGCAACCCAGCAACAGGUGCUGCUGCAUUUCAUCCUGUACAGGAAGUUAGCUUGUUCUUCUUCUGGAUGCUCCACCACUAGCUUCUGGCAAUACUCCUCGCAUGCGUGGAUCCCAUCAACCAUUGGCUCCCACUGAGAAAGGGCUUGGAACCCAUGAAAGUAGCAAACCACAGAGCUUCUUUUGCCUCGACAACAUAUACCUCUCCGUGUGAUCUGUGGUUAUAGUUCAGAUCCACCAGGCAAAUAGAUUUCCCGCUCUUCAGAACUGAUAUGGCAGCUUUGCAGCUGCUCUUUACUGCCUCUUCCUUGGAUGAAGCUUCAGGACUGGUAAUAGCUACUGUCUUCGGCGCCUCACCUACAUGAAGAAAACAACAAAAGAGAAAAAGUAGAGGAAAGACGACAGAGAUUCUAGGAGGGAAAUAGAUAAACCUGGCUAAGUUGGGUGUUCUCUAGUUACGUGAGCUGCACACAAGUUUACAUCAUUUUAUCAGGCUGAUAAGAGUUCUGCUAUCAGGAUCAAACAAAAAGCAAGGGAACGAGGGACAAAGGCUUUUCAGAGUUCUGCUGAAGCUUCUAAGGAGUUGUCCCACAUUUAAGAGGCAUUCUGAAGACUUGAAGGUGAAACAGCGCUUUACGUGGUAGGAUGGUUGCUACAAAUAUCCGUUGUGCCGAGAAAACACAAUGGCCUUUCCUGCCAGCUCGCCAUCAACUACAAAUAAAUGAAGGCAAAGAAGUGCAACAUCACCAGACUUUCUUCAAUGGCCGAGAGGGGAAUGCAAAUGUGAAGAUCCGUCUUGACAGGAUGUUGGCCAGCCCAGCCAUGGAUGAUCUAUACAGUGGGUCAGUAGUGAGGCAUUCUCCUUCUCCAAAAUCUGACCAUUGUGUGUUGAUCACAAAGUUGCGUACGCUCUUGGAUAGUGAAAGUGAAAGUGAAAGAGGGCCUAGGCCUUUUAUGUAUGAAGACGCUUGGCGUAGGGAGGAAAGCUACGAAAAAGCUAUUAUUGACAGUUGGCAGAACGGAUCUGGUGCAAGAGACCUUGCAGGUCUGCAGGAGGCGUUAAGCCAGAUGCAAGUUGGUCUUUCGACCUAGAGUUCAAAGAAGUUUGGUGAUAUAGGAAGAAGGAUAAAAAAGUGUCGAAAGGCAUUUGAAAAAGAGCGUGCAGAUUCUUUGUACCGUGGGACUUCGGUGAGAGAAAAGGAUUUGGCACCACAGCUCUCUGAACUCCUUCGGAAGGGGGAGAUCAUGGCUAAGCAGCGUUCGAGAGUAGACUGGCUGAAGGAG